rnacentral:rRNA from 1 species
ACGCGAAGGAUCAUUA